rnacentral:rRNA from 1 species
GACGAACGCUGGCGGCGUGCUUAACACAUGCAAGUCGAACGGAAAGGCCCCUUUGGGGGUACUCGAGUGGCGAACGGGUGAGUAACACGUGAGUAACCUGCCCUUGACUUCGGGAUAACUUCAGGAAACUGGGGCUAAUACCGGAUAGGAAUCCUUGCUGCAUGGAGGGGGUUGGAAAGCUUCGGCGGUUUUGGAUGGACUGGCGGCCUAUCAGCUUGUUGGUGGGGUAGUGGCUUACCAAGGCUUUGACGGGUAGCCGGCCUGGGAGGGCGACCGGCCACAUUGGGGCUGGGAUACGGCCCAGACUCCUACGGGAGGCAGCAGUGGGGAAUAUUGCACAAUGGGCGGAAGCCUGAUGCAGCAACGCCGCGUGCGGGAUGACGGCCUUCGGGUUGUAAACCGCUUUCAGCAGGGGCGAAGCUUGUGGUGACGGUACCUGCAGAAGAAGCACCGGCUAACUACGUG